UACAGAGGUCUCAAGCGUUGUUCGGAUUCAUUGGGCGUAAAGGGUGUGUAGGUGGCGCCGUAAGUGGGGUGUGAAAUCUCGGGGCUUAACUCCGAAACUGCAUUCCAUACUGCGGUGCUUGAGGACUGGAGAGGAGACUGGAAUUCAUGGUGUAGCAGUAAAAUGCGUAGAGAUCAUGAGGAAGACCAGUGGCGAAGGCGGGUCUCUGGGCCGAUACUGACGCUGAGGAGCGAAAGCGUGGGGAGCGAACAGG
rnacentral:rRNA from 1 species